rnacentral:rRNA from 1 species
UGUCCACCGAAAGCCUAAGGUUUCCUGGGGAAGGCUCGUCCUCCCAGGGUUAGUCGGGACCUAAGCUGAGGCCGAAAGGCGUAGGCGAUGGACAACUGGUUGAUAUUCCAGUACCACCUCUGUUCCGCUUGAGCAAUGGCGUGACGCAGGAGGAUAGGGUGAGCGGCCUAUUGGAUGGCCGUCUAAGCAGUAAGUGUGGUGUGUAGGCAAAUCCGCACACCAGUAAGCACAAGCUGUGAUGGCGAGGGAAAUAUAAGUACCGAAGUCCCUGAUUUCACACUGCCAAGAAAAGCGUCUAGCGAGGAACAAGGUGCCCGUACCGCAAACCGACACAGGUAGGCGAGGAGAGAAUCCUAAGGUGCGCGGGAUAACUCUUGCUA